UCAGCUGUGGACUAUCUUGAAUCUGACUCCAGCUAUCUAGCGUGCCAGUGUCGGUGACUCGGUGGUGUGACGGUUCCCCUUGAUCAAAAAGGCAGGUUCAAUACCGCGUCUGAUGGGGGGUCCUGAUGCUAGGAUGCGCACACUGAUUUUACGUUGGUGUUAGGUCCAUGGUCUUAUGCUUCAUAUUUACAAAAUUGGUGGAUUAGGUCAUCAUGCGUUACAUGGAAUGGCGAACUCGAUGUUUCAAGUGGACCCCAUUGGGUGUCAUAGCCCUUGUGAUCCUCCAUCAACGGUGAAUGGCAACCGAAGCACCACGCCUCAUGCUGCUGCGAUCUACGCUUUGCUCCUGUACCCGCCCAACUUUUGACCCCUCUAUCUAUCUGCAAAUCUCCUUCUCUUCAAACCCUGGAAUUAGAGAUAGAUCUCUUGGAACUUGGAUGCGUAUAUGACAAGAUCAGACUUGUGAUCAUCUCCGACUGGAACAUUCCGCGUCAUGCCGGAGACGAUGGACGCACCCUCGAUCCGAGUUCCCUACAAGAAUCUGAAGCAGGCUGAGGUUGAAUUGGUUGCCGCCGACGAACCUCGCCAUGGAGCCGACUUGAAUUCUAGGGUUCCCAAUGGGACAUCUGAUCCCUCAUCUAGCCCUUCAUCCAUUCCUCAUCCACCCAAACACGGUGGUUUGAGGACUUUGAUUCUCAGUUGUAUGAUUGCCGCCGGUGUUCAAUUUGGCUGGGCCUUGCAGCUUUCCCUAUUGACUCCUUAUAUUCAGACACUUGGAAUAGAGCAUGCCUUUUCUUCAUUUAUCUGGCUUUGUGGCCCUAUUACAGGCCUUGUGGUUCAGCCUUGUGUUGGGAUAUGGAGUGACAAGUGCUCUUCAAAAUAUGGAAGAAGACGACCAUUUAUUCUUGCUGGGUCUCUAAUGAUCUCAGUUGCUGUGACAAUUAUUGGGUUUUCUGCAGACAUUGGAUAUUUAUUAGGAGAUACCGAUAUGGAUUGCAGAAAAUUUAAAGGUACUCGAACAUGGGCAGCUAUUAUUUUUGUCCUUGGAUUUUGGAUGCUAGAUCUUGCAAACAAUACGGUGCAGGGCCCAGCUCGUGCUCUUCUAGCUGAUCUAGCAGGUCCUGAUCAGCGAAAUUCAGCAAAUGCCAUCUUUUGCUCAUGGAUGGCUGUGGGAAACAUUCUAGGAUUUUCUGCUGGUGCUAGUGGACACUGGCAUAGAUGGUUUCCUUUUCUGUUAAAUAAAGCUUGCUGUGAAGCCUGUGGGAAUCUUAAAGCAGCAUUUCUAAUCGCAGUGGUCUUCCUGACUUUGUGUACCCUUGUGACUUUAUAUUUUGCUGAGGAGGUUCCAUUGAUGGCAUACCAGCCUCACCAUUUAUCAGACUCCGCGCCUUUAUUGGAUAAUCCUCAACAAAUUGGGUUUGAUAAUUCAAAAUCAAAGCUUGAUAUAUCAGCUGUUGAUAAUGCCACUGGUAACAACCCUGAGAGCAGUUAUGAAAUUAAUAAAAAUGCAGAACAUCUCACUCCAAUCGUUCAAGAACAAAAUGAAAGUUUCAGUGAUGGACCUGGAGCAGUAUUGGUUAAUCUGUUGACCAGCCUAAGGCAUUUGCCACCUGCAAUGCAUUCAGUGCUUCUUGUCAUGGCUCUUAGUUGGCUGUCCUGGUUUCCCUUCUUUCUUUUUGAUACGGACUGGAUGGGUAGAGAAGUUUAUCAUGGGGAUCCUAAAGGGGAUGACUCUGCAGUUAAAGCAUAUGAUGCUGGUGUUAGAGAAGGUGCAUUUGGUUUGCUAUUGAAUUCAGUUGUUCUUGGCAUUAGCUCUUUCCUUAUUGAACCCAUGUGUCAGCGGAUGGGGGCAAGGCUGGUUUGGGCCAUGAGCAAUUUUAUUGUGUUUGCCUGCAUGGCUGGCACUGCUAUUAUUAGUCUGGUUUCUGUCAACGAAUAUAUUACUGAAGGGAUUCAACAUGCAAUUGGAGAGAAUAGAGCAAUCAAGAUCGCUUCAUUGGUUGUGUUUGCUCUUCUUGGCUUUCCUCUUUCUAUUACCUAUAGUGUUCCUUUUUCUAUCACAGCAGAGUUGACUGCUGAUACGGGUGGUGGCCAAGGAUUGGCUAUUGGAGUUUUGAAUCUUGCAAUUGUCAUUCCUCAGAUGAUUGUUUCCCUUGGUGCGGGUCCAUGGGAUGCUUUAUUUGGUGGAGGAAACAUACCUGCCUUUGUGCUAGCUGCAUUGUUUGCCCUAGCAGCUGGUGUUAUUGCAACUCUCAAGCUGCCAAACCUUUCGAGUAGUUCGUACAAAUCAUCUGGUUUUCAUUUUGGAUAACUUCCCUGCCUCAAUGAGGUGACAGCAAACCUGUAUAUGAUCCUCUCAGCUGCUACAAGAACAGACCUAGUCAAGUGGUUCUACUAUCAUCCUAUAAAGGGCGGGCUAGUAGGGAGGUUUUGAUUGAGCUGUAUCUGCAAUGCUUUUGUGAACCCAACUUCAGAUUGUUAGGCUUAUUGGUAGACGGAGUUUUGACUGGCACUUUGAUUGCCCAUUGGACCCAAAUGAAUCCCAGGAAUGCGAGGUCACCAUCUUCAAAUUGGGAUCGUCUUACCACCAGUUACAUCUGCUAGGUGACUUCAGGUUGGGAUUGUGCUGCUGUGAGUUACUGCCUAAACCAAGUUCUUGUUAAGUUGGCCCAAACAGUGCUGCAUCAUCCAAACCCCACCCUUUUCUACCAUUAGCCUUUUUAAGACUACACAAUUACGUUGUACUUGAUUUGUAGCUAUUUUUAUGCUAUGCAGUUUAUUUUUUACAAUUGAUUGAGAAGAAAAAAUAUCUGGGGAUAUAAAGAGAAACAAUAAGGACUGAGGAUAUCCUUGUUUUCUCUUUUUCUUUUUGGGCUUUUACCUUCUUUUGUUUGGUGGGAUUAAAGACUUUUGACAUGGUAGUGAUUUAUGGAUAUAAAAUCUGUCUCGAUCUGUUUUAUGUCUGAGGAAAA